rnacentral:rRNA from 1 species
AAUCAACGCUGGCGGCGUGCCUAACACAUGCAAGUCGAGCGAGAAAGUGGAGCAAUCCAUGAGUAAAGCGGCGACCGGGUGAGUAACACGUGACUAACCUACCUUCGAGUGGGGAAUAACUCCGGGAAACCGGGGCUAAUACCGCAUAACAUCGAAAGAUCAAAGCAGCAAUGCGCUUGAAGAGGGGGUCGCGGCUGAUUAGCUAGUUGGCGGGGUAACGGCCCACCAAGGCGAAGAUCGGUAUCCGGCCUGAGAGGGCGCACGGACACACUGGAACUGAAACACGGUCCAGACUCCUACGGGAGGCAGCAGUGGGGAAUUUUGUCGCAAUGGGGGAAACCCGUAGACGCAGCAACGCCGCGUGGAGGACGAAGCCCCUUGGGCGUAAACUCCUUUCGACCAAGACGAUAAUGACGGUACUGGUGGAAGAAGCACCGGCUAACUCUGUGCCAGCAGCCGCCGCGGUAAC